rnacentral:rRNA from 1 species
AGUGAACGCUGGCGGCAGGCCUAACACAUGCAAGUCGAACGGCAGCACAAGAGAGCUUGCUCUCUGGGUGGCGAGUGGCGGACGGGUGAGGAAUGCAUCGGAAUCUGCCCAUUUGUGGGGGAUAACCUCGGGAAACCGGGACUAAUACCGCAUACGACCUACGGGUGAAAGCAGGGGAUCUUCGGACCUUGCGCAGAUGGAUGAGCCGAUGCCGGAUUAGCUAGUUGGAGGGGUAAAGGCCCACCAAGGCGACGAUCCGUAGCUGGUCUGAGAGGAUGAUCAGCCACACUGGGACUGAGACACGGCCCAGACUCCUACGGGAGGCAGCAGUGGGGAAUAUUGGACAAUGGGCGCAAGCCUGAUCCAGCCAUGCCGCGUGUGUGAAGAAGGCCUUCGGGUUGUAAAGCACGUUUGUUGGGAAAGAAAAGCAGCCGGUUAAUACCCGGUUGUCAUGACGGUACCCAAAGAAUAAGCACCGGCUAACUUCGUG